rnacentral:rRNA from 1 species
AUUGAACGCUGGCGGCAGGCCUAACACAUGCAAGUCGAGCGGAGCGGCGGACGGGUGAGUAAUGCCUAGGAAUCUGCCUGGUAGUGGGGGAUAACGUCCGGAAACGGGAGCUAAUACCGCAUACUAUCAGAUGAGCCUCGGUCGGAUUAGCUAGUUGGUGUGUUAAAGGCCUAACAAGGCGACGAGCCGUAACUGGUCUGAGAGGAUGAGCAGUCACACGGGAACGUAGACCCGGUCCAGAUUCCGAAGGGAGGCAGAAGUGGGGAAUAUUGGACAAUGGGCGAAAGCCUGAUCCAGCCAUGCCGCGUGUGUGAAGAAGGUCUUCGGAUUGUAAAGCACUUUAAGUUGGGAGGCGUUACCAACAGAAUAAGCACCGGCUAACUUCGUGCCAGCAGCCGCGGUAAUAC